UGGGGGUUUAGCUCAGCUGGGAGAGCAUCUGCCUUACAAGCAGAGGGUCAGCGGUUCGAACCCGUUAACCCCCAU
rnacentral:tRNA from 7 species